rnacentral:rRNA from 1 species
AUGGUCGCCCACAGGUUCCACCAGUACCAGGUGGUGGGUCGCGCGCUGCCGACCCCCGGCGAUGAGCAGCCCAAGAUCUACCGCAUGAAGCUCUGGGCCACCAACGAGGUCCGCGCCAAGUCCAAGUUCUGGUACUUCCUGAGGAAGCUCAAGAAGGUGAAGAAGGCCAACGGCCAGAUGCUCGCCAUCAACGAGAUCUUUGAGAAGAACCCCACCACCAUCAAGAACUACGGCAUCUGGCUGCGCUACCAGAGCAGGACCGGUUACCACAACAUGUACAAGGAGUACCGCGACACGACCCUGAACGGCGGCGUGGAGCAGAUGUACACGGAGAUGGCGUCACGGCACCGCGUGCGUGCCCCCUGCAUCCAGAUCAUCAAGACUGCGACGGUGGACUUCAAGCUGUGCAAGAGGGACAACACGAAGCAGUUCCACAACUCCAAGAUCAAGUUCCCGCUGGUGUACCAGAAGGUUCGCCCACCCACCCGCAAGCUCAAGACCACCUACAAGGCGACGAGGCCCAACCUGUUCAUGUGA